rnacentral:lncRNA from 10 species
UUUCAAAACAGACAAGGGAAAAAGAGAAACAUCAGAAAGUCUGAUUAAAGUAGAAGCAUCAUAUUUCUAUCAACGUAUCCACUGUGCUUGGACUCUGUAAUAUUCACCGGCAGGAAAACCCAAGGGAAUGACUACUAUGACAUCUGAUGGUACAAGAACUAACAAUGAACAGAACAAAGGGGUGUGUGAUCCAGUCCUUGCUCUGUUCACUGAGCUCUGCCCAGCGGCUGGUUGCUUUCACACGAGGAAAACCUUUUUUUCUGCUCUCUUGGCACAAAUUGCUGGAGCUGAAUGUACCAGGGUGGGUGAAGGGGAGGAUGAGGUCAGAGAGGUAACAGGGCCAGGCAAGCCAUUGUCAGGAUUUUGGAUUUUACUGUGUACGGAAUGUGUUUGCCAGAACAAUGCGGGAGUUGCAGAGAGAGGUGUCCUGUGUUUGUUCCCAGUCUUCCUUCACUCACCUGCACCUGCUCCUGCCCUGCUUCGGCCAACAUGUUCUAUGCAGGCAUUAUAGUAUACAUAGCCUUGGAAUCAGAAGACCAAGAACAUACAAGAGAACAUAGCCUUGGAAUCAGAAGACCAAGAAACAAUUUAACUCUGCCCCUCUAGAGCUCUGAGAACUUGGGCAAGCCUUUUACCCUCUUGAAUUUUUGCCACCUUCAAUGAGAAAGACUGAAACAAAAAACUCAGAAGAAAGAAAGAGACUGAGAUAGCAAAUAUGACAAACUGUUAAAAAUUCAUGAAUCUGUUAUGGAAUACUAUGCAGCCAUAAAAAAGGAUGAGUUCCUGUCCUUUGCAAGGACGUGUAUGAAGCUGGAAACCAUCAUUCUGAGCAAACUAAAACAGGAACAGAAAACCAAACACCACAUGUUCUCACUCAUAAGUGGGAGUUGAACAAUGAGAACACAUGGACACGGCGGGGUGGUGGGAACAUCACACACCGGGGCCUGUCAGAGGGGAGGGGGCUAGGGGAGAGAUAGCAUUAGGAGAAAUACCUAAUGUAGAUGAUGGGUUGAUGGGUGCAGCAAACCACCAUGGCAUGUGUAUACCUAUGUAACAAACCUGCAUGUUCUGCACAUGUAUCCCAGAACUUAAAGUAUAAUAAUAAAAAGAGAGAUUAAAAAAAUUGGUGAAUCUGGGCAAAAUGUACACAGGAUUUUUCUGUACUGUUCUUGCAACUUUUCUACAGAUUUGAAAUGUUACAAAAUAAAAGGUAUUUUUAGAAAAAGAG